rnacentral:rRNA from 1 species
AUACGGAGGUAGCAAGCGUUGUUCGGAAUUACUGGGCGUAAAGGGCGCGCAGGCGGUUUGGUAAGUCAGAUGUGAAAUUCACCGGCUCAACCGGUUGAACUGCAUCCGAUACUGCCAGACUUGAGAUCAGUAGAGGAGAGUGGAAUUCCCAGUGUAGCGGUGGAAUGCGUAGAUAUUGGGAAGAACACCGGUGGCGAAGGCGGCUCUCUGGACUGAUUCUGACGCUGAGGCGCGAAAGCUAGGGGAGCGAACAGGAUUAGAAACCCGAGUAGUCC